rnacentral:rRNA from 1 species
UACGGAGGAUGCAAGCGUUAUCCGGAAUGAUUGGGCGUAAAGCGUCCGCAGGUGGCUAUGUAAGUCUGCUGUUAAAGAGUGAGGCUCAACCUCAUAAGAGCAGUGGAAACUACAUGGCUAGAGUGCGUUCGGGGCAGAGGGAAUUCCUGGUGUAGCGGUGAAAUGCGUAGAGAUCAGGAAGAACACCGGUGGCGAAAGCGGGUCUCUGGACAGUUCCUGACGCUGAGGCACGAAGGCCAGGGGAGCAAACGGG